GCGGCUAUAGCUUAACUGGAUAGAGUACAGGUUUCCGAAGCCUGUGGAGUGGGUUCGAGUCCCGCUAGCCGUACCA
rnacentral:tRNA from 1 species